CAGCCGCCGGGUAAAACGGAGGGUGCAAGCGUUAUCCGGAUUCACUGGGUUUAAAGGGUGCGUAGGCGGGCAGGUAAGUCAGUGGUGAAAUCUUCGAGCUUAACUCGGAAACUGCCGUUGAUACUAUCUGUCUUGAAUAACGUUGAGGUGAGCGGAAUAUGUCAUGUAGCGGUGAAAUGCUUAGAUAUGACAUAGAACACCGAUUGCGAAGGCAGCUCACUAAACGCUCAUUGACGCUGAGGCACGAAAGCGUGGGGAUCAAACAGGAUUAGAGACCCGCGUAGUCCCUGUCUCUUAUACA
rnacentral:rRNA from 1 species